rnacentral:rRNA from 1 species
UGCCCACAGCCCCGGUAACACCGGGGGCGCAAGCGUUAUUCGGAAUUAUUGGGCGUAAAGGGCGCGUAGGCGGUCUUGUCAGUCAGGUGUGAAAGCCCGGGGCUCAACCCCGGACGUGCAUUUGAAACAGCAAGACUUGAGUACGGGAGAGGAGAGAGGAAUUCCUGGUGUAGAGGUGAAAUUCGUAGAUAUCAGGAGGAACACCGAUGGCGAAGGCAUCUCUCUGGACCGAUACUCGACGCUGAGGCGCGAAGGCGUGGGUAGCGAACGGGAUUAGAUA